GAAGUUGCAUUGUUUCUUUAUUUCAAUCAAAAGGCAAUAACAACGUAAGUUUUGUCAUUGAUUUUUCUGAUAUUGUUCACUUUAGUUCGUUCUUUGUUAAGGUGGAGUUUUAAUGUUAGUUUCGCUCCAUACUUUAUUUAAUGUUCAAUUAGUUUUCUUUUUAGGUGAGGGGGUUUUGAAUCGAGAUCCUUCAGCGGUG
rnacentral:lncRNA from 1 species